GAUCAAGAACGCAGCGAAAUGCGAUAAGUAAUGUGAAUUGCAGAAUUCAGUGAAUCAUCGAAUCUUUGAACGCACAUUGCGCCCGCUAGUAUUCUGGCGGGCAUGCCUGUCCGAGCGUCAUUUCAACCCUCAAGCCCCCGGGCUUGGUGUUGGGGAUCGGCGAGCCUCCGCGCCCGCCGUCCCCUAAAUCUAGUGGCGGUCUCGCUGUAGCUUCCUCUGCGUAGUAGCACACCUCGCACUGGGAAACAGCGCGGCCACGCCGUUAAACCCCCAACUUCUGAACGUUUGACCUCGGAUCAGGUAGGAAUACCCGCUGAACUUAAGCAUAUCAAUAAGCGGAGGA
rnacentral:misc_RNA from 1 species